GUCAUCCAGGUCUUUAUGUCCUUAAGGCAUGCUUGGAGUUUAGUUACGGAUAGGUUUCAUCUUCAUUGAUUAAUAUAUUUGGGUAUCAUCUGUGUAGCAAUCAAGAUUUAUGAAGUGUUUCCGAAUAAUAUUACCUAAAGGAAGCAUAUACAAGGUGAAUAGUAUUGGUCCAAGUACAGAACUUUGUGGAACUCUGUGUCUAACUUUUGCCUAGCAACUGCUAGUCAGUUAUUUGACUAUGUGACAGCCAUAGAGCAUGUGCAGCAUGCAUUCAUCUGGCCAGCACGGAAAUGUCCAACAUGACACCAGUUUAACAACUCUGGUAUUCUGUGAAAUUAGGGCUGCUCGAUUAAUCGAAUUUUAUUUUCAAUUACGAUUUUGGCUUCCAGCGAUUAUGAAAACAAGAUAAUCGAGAUAAGUCGAUUAUUUUGUCACAGUCCGUUUCAUAAUGAUGCUCUGGUUUUGUCUUGUGGAAUAAAUUCAGCACAUCAAGUGUCGGAGCAGCCGUACAGCGCAUGGAGAGACAGACAGACAGAGUGGAGUCUUCCUCACAGUGCAUAUGUGUCUGAAUUAAACAGUCAAAUGUUAAGUGGUGGACUGAGACAUCUACAGGCUACUUUGUUUUAGUUUCAGUCAGACUUUGGAUUCGAUUAUUUUAGAUACAAGGAUGUUUUCCUCCGUGUAAUGAUCUCUCCUUUCAUCCAGUCACUCAGAGCUGCGCUUCCUCUGUCUGCAAUAGGCUUUACGUUAGCUGGCAUAUGCCGUUUUUUUUGCCGGGAUCAUGUGUAGUUGUCUGGCAGAUGAAAAUAUCAACGGCCAAAUGGUCUGGUGGGAAAUAUGCCAAUUGCUAAAUUCAGGAACAGUGAAGUGGCGCACACUUCAGGAACAGUUCUGUGCUUUGGCUCGACAGCAGUUAACACGACUCUGAAAAGUCUUACCAUUUUUUCUCAGGUAACGUUACAUCCAACACUGGCACAGUGAAACAUAUGGAUCAGCCCGGAGCUCCGCGGUUAAAGGUCCAGUGUGUAAUAUGUGUGGUAUUUAGCAGCCUCUAACGGUGAGGUUCUAGAUUGAAGCACUCCGCUGCUCACCCCUCCCCUCCCUAAGACUUUGGAGAGAUUCCAGAAGCUACGGUGGCCCUCAAGGACAAGAAGCUAUUUGCUGAAGAUCAUCCACCACAACUUCGAGCAUUUCUAACAAGUCAAGCGAUAAGAGUCAAGUACCGGAGGUUAGAGGGAGAGGAAGAGGAUGAGAAAGAGGACGAGUUAGCGGUUCUGCUGCAGGCAGGGCCAGGAGAGGGAGGAGAGCAAACACUGGCAUUGCAGAAGCAGGGGAAGGACCAAAGCGACUGAGAAACUUCUUGAAGAGAUGACCUUGGAGGAGCACAGGCACCAGUGAACUGCUUCAGAGGCAGCCAGGGUUCAUUUUUGAUGCCUUGAUGAUGCAUCAGUGCAGGCAUGGUGUCCCGUUUGCAAGAGUGCCAGGGGUACCAUGGUGUACUUGUAGUAACUGUACAGACAUGCCUACGGACUGGGAGAGGAAAUGCUGUGGCCAGUACUUUGCAGAUUGUGUAAUAAUAAUACCGCACUUCUCGUAAUACUGUCUUGAAAAUGCUUUUUAUGCAUUCACAGGCGGUACUGGGAGGACAUUAUGGUAUUAGGCCAAACCAGGAAGCCUGGGGAUGACAACCGGGAUUACCGUUAUGCUGCUUAUAGACAUUUCAUCUAUUGACAGCAUGGCUCUUUAGGUAAGGGAAACCAACUUGUCGUCCCCAGUUGCUGUGUUUGGAGGAUCAGAGACAAGUUCCCUGGUCCUCCAAAGACAUCACACUGGUUUCACACCUUGCCUCUGAGUUUCCCUCCAGGUCCUCUGGAGCGUCCACACAGUAUCUCAGGUACUCACACACCUGCCUGUUCAUCAUCAAGGCAUCAAAUCAUCUCAUAUUUAUUUGUUACAUUUCUGA